rnacentral:rRNA from 1 species
AUUGAACGCUGGCGGCAGGCUUAACACAUGCAAGUCGAGCGGGGGAGGUUGCUUCGGUAACUGACCUAGCGGCGGACGGGUGAGUAAUACUUAGGAAUCUGCCUAUUAAUGGGGGACAACAUCUCGAAAGGGAUGCUAAUACCGCAUACGCCCUACGGGGGAAAGCAGGGGAUCACUUGUGACCUUGCGUUCAUAGAUGAGCCUAAGUCGGAUUAGCUAGUGGGUGGGGUAAAGGCCUACCAAGGCGACGAUCUGUAGCGGGUCUGAGAGGAUGAUCCGCCACACUGGGACUGAGACACGGCCCAGACUCCUACGGGAGGCAGCAGUGGGGAAUAUUGGACAAUGGGGGGAACCCUGAUCCAGCCAUGCCGCGUGUGUGAAGAAGGCCUUAUGGUUGUAAAGCACUUUAAGCGAGGAGGAGGCUCUUUUGGUUAAUACCCAAGAUGAGUGGACGUUACUCGCAGAAUAAGCACCGGCUAACUCUGUGCCAGCCGCCGCCGUAACAC